CAGGGCUGAAAACUGGGUGGGCCAGUGGUGCCAGAGGCCGGAGGGAGUCGCCACCCACAUUCAGUGACACAUGGCCUUUCCAGGCUUGUUCAGUUGUGCCUCUUCCCGAAGCUGCUGUGGAGCCCAGCGGUCAUGGAGGAAGGACAGAGCAGAGUCGGUCCUGGCACCCAUGCAGAGCAUCCAGGAGGAGGCAUCAGAGACCUGGGCCGCGCCUGGGCCUGUACAAACAUGCUGAGCAUCUCACUGGGAGGCAGCCGGGGAGGCACAACCAUGACAAAACCCGGCCCCGUGGCUAUGGACGCUGACACAACAGUCACCAGGGGGGACGUGGCCUUUGCCAAAAAGCCACAUGACUUACUCACUCAUGCCCCUUGGGGAUUCUGACAAAUCCCAGAAAAUGGUGUGCAUCAACACAUCCCUCCCUGGACGACACCAUUAAAAUUGAGGCAUUGAUUUCA